GUGGGGUUCAACUGAGAACCAGCCCUCUGUUCCUUCCAGGAUGCAGGAGUCUGGAUUUUUUUUUAAGAUGUUUUCCUGAGAGAGGGGAGCCCAGUUGCUGGUGUCUGAGGGAACCUCAGAUAAAAGCCUCCACCAGUGUCCUGGAACAUUCUGAACGCUUGGCUUCUGCAGGCCUUGGGUCACUGACGACUCAUUUGACAUUGAUCGCGCGCACACUGCUGUGAUCCACCCUACUAUGGUGUGAACAGCCAGGCAACUUCUAGACUUGAGAAGAUCUUGUCCCCAUCUGUAAAUUUUUCAACUCACACAGGCCAUCUGUAACCUUUCCUCCAAGAUAACAUCUCCUCGAAAGAAAGAAAGAAAGAAAGAAAGAAAGAAAGAAAGAAAGAAAGAAAGAAAACCACCAAAAAUCAGCCUCUUCCCUCCUUGUUAAGACGGCAGCAUGAUGUGAAAGUUCCUGAGGACUUCAGUUACCUGGC